GCAAAAUUGCAGAGCUGACACAAACUUCUAGCAAGGAUGAAAAACCGAAGACCCAGCUUCCACAAACUAAAGUUUUUCUCAACUCAAAUUUGAAAAAUCGAGAUUGUCCAGUUUGCAAAGGCUCACAUUCGAUUUACAUCUGCGACGAAUUUAAACGUUAUCCUGUUCACGUCAGAAUUGAGUGCGUUAAAUCGCUGCACCGUUGCCAGCGCUGCUUAGGAACGCAUGAGGAUGAAUGUAAGAGUAAAUUUGCCUGCAAAGAAUGUAAUCAAAAAAUUCACCAUACGCUCCUGCAUUCAAACGAAAAUAGCUCACCCAAUCCUGCCGUAACUCAAAAUGACUCAACCUCUGAAGAAAAUUUCGAAGAUCAAAAAUCAAGCAUUAUGUUAACGAAUCUACAAGCCAAGUCAACGGAUCAUCAAGACUUUACUUUACUACUCGGCACUGCUCUCAUCACAGUGAAGGAUAUCAAUGGAAAAUAUCAGCACAUGCGCGCAGUUCUCGAUUCCGGUGCUAUGUCAUCUUUUGUCUCCGCUGAUUGCGCCAAACGCCUCGGGUUGCCACUUCUUCCCGAUAAUACCAGCAUCUCAGGCUUAGCUGAAAGUCAUGUUAACUCACUAGGAGCCAUAAAUUGCUUAGUGAAACCUAGGCAAACUGAUGAACCAAAGUUAAGGAUAAGAGCUAUCGUGAUUCCAGUCAUCACGGAAAAUCUGCCAUGCGUCAAGAUAUCAAAUGAAGUGAGACAAUUUUGGAGCAAGUUGAACUUAGCAGAUCCCAGUUUUGAUGAUACUAACGCCAAAAUUGACAUGCUUUUGGGCUCGGAAGUUUUUGUACGGAUUAUUUCAGGUCAAAAGAAAAUAACUAAUGAUUUAGGUCAUGCUCUUCACAGUAUUUAUGGCUGGGUGCUCAUGGGAAAGGUUCCCACGGAAAAGGUCCCGGAAAAGCAGACUACGUUUCUCAUGACAGAAAACAAUGAGAAUUUUCAAAAAGCUAUCACUUACGGUACAGCCUCAGCGCCAUUUUCAGCGCACAGAUCGCUUAAGCAGUUAGUGCUGGACGAAAAUAAUAAUAUUUCAGAAGCUGCAUGUCGUGUCUUUAAUGAAGAAACCUACCCUAAUGACUCCCUCUCAAGUGCAGAACCAAUCACAGAAGUCAUCAGACUAAGGAACGAAACACAUCAACUAUAUAGCCGAGGUCAUUUUUACCCCAAGCAAUGGGCAAAAAACCACCCAGAAGCUCUAGAAGGAUUGCCUGAGGCCGAAAUCACAUUGCCCUCUG
rnacentral:lncRNA from 1 species